GAUGAACGCUAGCGGCAGGCUUAACACAUGCAAGUCGAGGGGCAGCAGGGUAGCAAUACCGCUGGCGACCGGCAAACGGGUGCGGAACACGUACAGAAUCUACCUUUAUCUGGGGCAUAGCCCGGAGAAAUUCGGAUUAACACCCCAUAAGAUAUCAGAGUGGCAUCACUUAGAUAUUAAAUCUCCGGAGGAUAGAGAUGACUGUGCGUCCCAUUAGCUAGUUGGUAGGGUAACGGCCUACCAAGGCGACGAUGGGUAGCUGGUGUGAGAGCACGACCAGCCACACGGGCACUGAGACACGGGCCCGACUCCUACGGGAGGCAGCAGUGAGGAAUAUUGGGCAAUGGACGCAAGUCUGACCCAGCCAUGCCGCGUGAAGGAUGAAGGCGUUCUGCGUUGUAAACUUCUUUUAUUGGGGAANAAACCUCCGUUUUCUAAUGGAGCCGACGGUACCCAACGAAUAAGCACCGGCUAACUCCGUGCCAGCCGCCGUAAG
rnacentral:rRNA from 1 species